rnacentral:rRNA from 1 species
UCAACCUGAGAGUUUGAUUCUGGCUCAGAACGAACGCUGGCGGAAGGCUUAACACAUGCAAGUCGAGCGCGCCCUUCGGGGUGAGCGGCAGACGGGUGAGUAACGCGUGGGAACGUGCCCUUUGGUUCGGAAUAGCCCUUGGAAACGAGGAGUAAUGCCGAAUGUGCCCUUCGGGGGAAAGAUUUAUCGCCAAAGGAUCGGCCCGCGUUAGAUUAGCUAGUUGGUGAGGUAAUGGCUCACCAAGGCGACGAUCUAUAGCUGGUCUGAGAGGAUGAUCAGCCACACUGGGACUGAGACACGGCCCAGACUCCUACGGGAGGCAGCAGUGGGGAAUCUUGGACAAUGGGCGCAAGCCUGAUCCAGCCAUUCCGCGUGGAUGAUGAAGGCCCUAGGGUUGUAAAAUCCUUUCGGCAGGGAAGAUAAUGACGGUACCUGCUAAAGAAGCCCCGGCUAACUCCGUGCCAGCAGCCGCG